AGCGCCGCCACAAACCAGAUCGGCCUCCAGCAGCGCCGUCCGCACCCGAAGCAGAGGAGAAGAAGAACACAGCAGACCCAUUUGUAGAUCCGAAACGGAGAAGAAGACUUGAGAACAGAUCCGGGAAGGAGCAAGAAAAAUUAAAAUCUACUGUUGUUGCGUUUUCUGGACUUUGCAGGUGGCUUUACUUCACACCGCCGGCGACGACAGGAUGAUGGGAAGAAGUCGACCUGGACCCCCUUGCUGUUGGUUGUCUUCUGUGGCGGCGCGUGAACCCACGCGCCGCCAGUGGCGGGGGCGCGUGGGGCAGACGCGCCGCCACUGUCUUGUCGUUUCUGAUGCAUGCCCGACACUGUUCUGGAGGUGUAGAAGUAGUUUCUAGAUUGUUUAGGGGCUGUUUUUGUAAUUUCCAAAUUGUUUAAUGUAAUAUUUAUGUAGUUUUGAUUUUUUUUAUUUGUAGUAUGUAAAAGGAUGUAAAAGAAAAGUAAAGAAAUGAAAGAGAAAGUGAUAAUAAUAAUAAUAAAAAAAAGAAAUGUUUGUGUGCUUGUAAUUUUUUUUAUGUAUGUUAUUGAAUAAAAAAAAAUGAAUUUAAUUUUUAUGCACAAAUAUCUAAAGGACAGAUAAAAAUCAUGUUGAAUUUUCCAUGGAAAUGUAGAACAUGUAUCUACAUAUAGUCUGGAAAAGUAAUAACUGAUUUAUCAAAGCCUUAGAAUUGGGUUAAAAUUUUAUCUUUAAUAUCACAGCAAGUCCACGAAGCUUGAUAGUGAAUGUGGUGUGUAUUUUGUUUAUAAAUGUUUUUUUUAUUAUGAUAAAAUUGCAUGAAUAAAGAAGAAUUUAAUAUUCUGAUUUAAUCACGGAUAAAGAAUCAUGAACUUACAUGUAAGUUGUAUUUUCUAAAAUUCGAUGAAAGAAUAGAAUUUUUAAAACUUCUUUAACACAUCAAGUCCACAAAGCAGCUUACCUCAGGUAGGGUGCGUUAGGGGUGCUGAUACCUUCCCUAACCACAACCAGUCCCUUACCCGCAAUCUCUAACAAGAUCAGUACAUCAGGUUUCCUAGUAGCCCUCAAUGAAUUACUAGGUGGCGACUCCAAAGAACCAAAUCAACAAAAUAGAACGAAUAAUCGCCAGCCGAUGCCGCGCUUCGGAUUUUUUUGGGGUGCGACAGAAUGGCGACUCCACUGGGGACGAUAUUGUUUUCAACAUUAUUGGCCUAAGCUUUGUAUAUUUGAUGUGUUUAUGUUUUUGUAUUUUUGUCUUAUUUUAUUUUUGUUUUAUCCUUUUUGUCUUAUUUUAUUUUUGUUUUAUCCAUGCAUUUUGUAGAAUUGUCUCAUGCAUCACUUUUAAUUUUUUUUAAAGCACACACUAGCUUCAGGUUAGGAGGGGGACUAGCAGCUUACCUUACGAUUUUUAAUCAAGGUUUAAGUUUGUGUAAACCCCAACUCUUCGUUGAGUGUCAAGACUGGUAAUAGUUGGACACGUGUCAUCUCACUGCCUACUGGCCCCCAUAUUGCCUCCACGAGGGCGAUCACUGGGACAACGAGAGCCCCUUUUUAGAGACCAAAUAGUAAACCUACCUUUUGUCUCACUUAAAAAAAAAUUUAGAACCUACCCUUGUUUUGCAUCUUGAACUCAAGACUUGUGGGUGACACAUUGGUCGUUGCUCCGAAAAUUUUCAUUGUAGAGUUUGGGCAGAAAUCACGAUUCUUGUCCAUCAUACAAGAGUUACGGCCAUAUUGUCACCUCUCGAAGGGUAAGUUCAUCAUAUAGAUUACAUGUUCAUACAUUUAUCAUGCAUGUACCGGGUUGAAAAGUAGGUUCCCCCGCACAAGCUGUGCUGCACUGAUUGAGAAAAUGAUGGAGUGAAGAAAGGUGCAGAUAGAGGCUCAUUAUCAGAUUAAGGUUGAGAGCAUCAAAGGUGAAGUAGCUAGACUCAGAUCUGCUCGAACAAGUGUUGAGCAUCAAAUGGAAAGAGAAUGUCUGCACAGUCUUCUGUGGGAACACUGCUUGUUCACGUCCAAUUGAAGCUGUAUCUCUCCUUUUCAGUCAUGAACAAAUAACAUCAACUAAUGACAACUCUGAUUCUUGUCCAGUUGCACUGUUAAGUGUUCAUCGCCUCCACAUCAUCUAAUGGAACCAAACGACUACUAGCCUCCUGUUCAUGGUGCAUUAGUCUGCUUUGAAGUUACCCCAAUUAUGAGCUCAAUUCCAGUUCAGCAGCACAAGAUGUUGGUCUGAAAAACCAUGAUCAGACACUGAACUUCACGUGGUAGAGCUCUCUCUGUAGAGAUUUAUUUGUGGAUCUGCCAAUGGGAAAUGCAAAAGGGGAUGUAUUAAUUUCAUAUGCUUUGAAACUUUUUCCCACCAGUGGCACCAGCAAAACAUUGUAGUAGGCAGAAGAGUCAGACCUGGUCUGAUAAUAUUAGCAGUCGUCGAACUUCAACGUGGCAGAGCUUUCUCUACAAAAAUCUAUUUAUGAUGCUGCAAGUUGAGAGUGCAAGAGAGGAUUUACUAAUUGCAUAUGCUACAAAUAUUUCUCUCAUCAGUUUCAGCACGAAGACAUCUUAGUAGGUUGAAGAGCUAGACCUGGUCUGAAAAAAUAUGAGCAGACAUCAAACUUCAACGUAGCAGAGCUCUCUCAGCAGGAAUCUGUUUGUGGAUCUGUAAGUGGGAAAUCCAAGAAGGAAUAUAGUAGUUUCAGAUCAUCUAUGAUUUUCCUCCAACAGUGUCAGUAUUAAAACGCAAAAGUAGAGAGAAGAGACAUGCCUAGACUGAAAAACAUGAAGAAGAUUGAAACUUCCAGAGCAGACUCCCUCUAUGGUGCUUUUUGCUGCACUUCGAGAGGAAUCGAAGAAGAAAUAGAGGAGAUUCAUGUUCAUCGUUUUCUCCCAUAGAAGAGAUAAGGCAUGAUUCCACGUGUCGGUAGUGGCGAUACUACAAGUUUCUGGGCGCUGCCAAGAUUACCAAGCUGUUGGAAAGUUUUCUAACAAUCCUCAACCAACCACAACAACAUUGGAAGAUUGAAAUGAUGUUGUGAGGAUUUGCCGAAGAAUUGAACAAGCUAUGAAGAGAGGAAAGAUUGAAGGAUCUGCCAUGGAUUCCAGAACCGUGAAGAGAGUUGAAUCAGAAAUGACUCUCAAUUAGAAACCUCAGUUAUUUUUCCUAGUAAAGUCUCGCUCAAGCAUCAACUACUCCAAUGUCUUUGCCAAAGAUAGACAUUCCUUUGCCAUGUGGGUUUAUUUACCAGCACUGCCAGAUUUCAGACUUAGUGUCCCGACUUCGACAAAUUGCAUGCAACCACCGUGGUAUAAUUCAAACCAGAAUGUGAAUAUCAUGGAGGGUUCCCGGACCAUUUAGUUGAAAGACACAAGAGUUUCAAGAAUCGAGCUGAGUUUGCGAAAGAUGAUGGCAUCAAUCAUGUUGUCACCAGAACAUCCUCAGAAUGACAUGUGAUCGAAAGUGCUUGGCAAAACUGAUAUUGCCAGAAAAGCUGAUUCAAGAAUGGUGAUGAAAUCAAUCAUAUUGUAUGGAAUUCUGCAUUUUGUUUUGGGAUCACAUCUCAUCCUUCACGAAACGUGCCUUGCUUUUGUCUCUUUGUUUGUUUUGAAAUCAACAGAUGUUUAACAUUUUAUUCUGACAAAAUUUUUGAUCAAACUCCAACAUGCGAUAAAGGCUAAUCAAUCCUGAAGAUUAAAAGUGUUUUGAUUGCAGAAAUGACUCGAUUCUUGUUGAAAUGACAUGAGGUGACCGAACAAAUUUUGAGCUCACACUUAAAAUUGAACCACACAUCAUAUAGCUAAGUUUUAGCAGUAUGCAUAAUGACAUGUAGUGGAUUAGUUAUGGACUCAGUGAAUCAUGACUCUUACAAGUCCCAAUCAUUACACUGGAUGAGGUCAAAAUUUAUCGUUCUAACCGACCUUGCUUGAAAUGAGAAAAGGCCAUCUUUGAUAUCCCUUCACUUUCUAAAAUUAUAUCCCUUGUAGUCCCAUUUUGAGCUGGAUAGAAUAUUUUUUUCAUAAAAACCCUGACUAGGAUCACACCCCACACUGGGGCAAAUGAGAGAUAUUUUGGAGACAUUGAUAUAAUUAAUGGAUAAAGGGGAAGGCUUAGAACAAAGUCCAAUGAUUGAGAGAGAGCUAGAAGAAACACAUAGACUAGGGGCAUAUAAGAAAGUUUUGAGGAAGACUUUGGAGGAAAAAAAAAAGGAAGUUGAAAUUGCCUUCACUUAAAUACAAGUCAAAGGUAAAGGAAGGAAAACGUCUAUCAAGUCUAGGAAGAGCAAAAGAAAUUUCAAUCAAAGAAAGGCACAACAAAAGUCAAUACCAAAAAAAAGACUAAGCUAUAAACGUUGACUUUUGGGAUCCAUUAUAAAGCCUACAGUGUUAUCAGAUGAUUAAGGUUGGUUAUUCAUCAAGGAAAAGUGGAUUUGCAUUAUAACUUAUGUUAAGAAAAGUCUGAACUUUGAGGUUAACAAGGUUAUAUGUCGUUUCCUCUACAAAGACAAUAAUAGAAAAGAGUUGAUGAAUAGUUGAUGUUGAUCUUAGGUCUUUGAAACCUUCAAACACCUUUUGAGCCUUUGAAAUGCCUUUCUUUCAUAGCCAUGAACCAUAGCCUGCAUUACGUGCUUUUAAAAGCCCUUUUUAAUCAAGCAAGCAAUUUGAACCGAUAAAUGACGCUCUCAAAACUUAAAGAGCUUUUCCAUAAGGGUCGUGACUUCAUGAAUUAAACUAUUGGUUAUUAUGCAUGCUGAUAAAACAAGUUAUAAGAAGAGAAACAACCUUUCUUGAUAAAGCCUAAGUGUUGACUUGGGUGCCUUGCUUUUGAAAUUGACGCAAAGGUCACCUCAUCAUAGACUAUCAAAUGAUAUACCCAAUAUCAAGGAUUCAAAUUGAUACAAAGAACCAUGGAAAAAGCCAUUUUAAUCCUACAACGGGUCAUUUAUGUUUUCAAAAUACAAGACAAUCAAAGGACUGCAUUGAAUAGUGUGUUGGGUCUUUGACCAAAGAAGUUUGAAUUUCAAAAGAUUUUCAAAAAGACAUCUCUGAUUUCAUUUCAACAAACUAGACUUUGAAUAGACAUGAUCUUUGAAAUAUGAGAGUUGAUUCCAAAACAAGGAAGAUUAUCAAACACAAAGAACAUUGAUUGGUAUGCAAAAUCGUUGAUAGAAAUGACAUUGAAGUCCUCACACUCCUUGAAAAGUUGAGCAGCUGGGGCAAUACAGUGGACCUUAAAAGGAAAAAACACAGUAUCCAGAUCAGCUGGGGGCAAAGAAAGAAUCACAUGAUGAGUCAUCAAAGUCCAUCAAAGUCAUUCCUGGCAUUCACAAAAGCCAUUUGGUUGUAAACAGUAAAAUGAGCAUGCUCAGAUCAACUAAGGGCAAUGUUGUUCAAAGACAAUCCAUGAUUUAAUGAACUUCAGCAGCAAUUGAUGAGCAACGCUGCACUUGAAGGAUAUUUUCAUAUCUUCAUCUUGGGUCACCCUCUGAAACAUGGCUAUGACUCCUGACAGAUGUUAUCGGGUGAGUGCAUUUGAAUGAACAUCGAACAUAUGCACACCACCAAGACUGACUAUGGAACAAUGCUGCACUUGAAGGACAAUCUCAUAUUGUCAUCCUAUGAAACAUGGUUAUUGACAGACGUUACCACACAACUGCAUUGAAUGAAUGUCAGAAAGGCACCCACCCCGAAGACUGACUGUGUGGGACAAUUUGUUUUGAAGCCAGAUGAGCACUUCACCACAUGAGUAUGGGUGAUAAAAGCAGCAUCAUUGAUGAGGCUGAGACAUUUCUUUUCACAAUCUGAUUAGAAGAGUUGAAAGGAAUCUAUGAGAAGAGCACUGAGCAUACAACCAUGAGCCUUUGUACUGCAAGCUAUGAGAUGCAUGUCUGGAUGACUGAUUGAGUUCCAAGGAGGCUGAUGAUAACAUGUACUUGAAGAAUACUGUUUCAACUAGAGGCAAGUUCAUGACUGAUUAACAAUCUUGAUGGGUAUUGGCAUGAUGCACACAAUCAAUCAGAGGAUAAUUCUCAGAAGAAGCCAGGAGAGAGAAUCCUUCAUGAUGAAUCAAGCAGUACCACACUUGGGGGCAUGGUCAAGCUUGAUGAAUGAUGCAAGCAGUAAUUGUCAAAGACAACCCGGGAUGGGCACUGCAUUUACAGUUGAGUGGAUGGUUAGCACAUGAAUGAGCCAAUGCAUCGGAAGAACAAAGAAAGCUUUGGGAUGCAAACAAGGGCACCCUAUGACGAUGGAGCAUCAAAGAGGGGGGACCUAUAUUUCAAAUCAGGUAAGGAUGCAUGCAUAUCAUCUAAUCUAAAAAAAAAAAAAAACCAUUUGCAUAUAUUUUUGAAUUGUUACAGGAAAACCCUUAAUGAGGUCCAGCAAGAUAGUGGAAAAAGAAAGAAGCAUUGUGGUGAUGAUAAUAAAGAAUCGGCUUUGAUCAUGGAAUAAAAGGGAAGAUGGGAUGAACCCUACCAUUAGGGAAAUCCUAAAGAAAUGAAAAGAUCACCCUUGCAGUCAGGAAACACCGAGUUUUCAAACCCUAUGAUCGGGGAUUAUCAGGAAGCACCAAGUUUUCCAGCCCGUCUUCCGUCAUCCCCUCAGGACUUCGCCAGGUAAGUCCUAUUUUUCACACUGGUCAUAUCACAUUUUUUCCAUCCGGGUAGGUCACCCAUGACAAUGAGACCACACUUCAUCAUAUUUUUUCCAUCUGGGUAGGUCACCCAUUACAAUGAGACCACACUUCAUGUUUUUUCCAUAUUUGGGGUAGGUCACCCAUUACAAUGAGACCGCACUUCACAUUCUUUCUAUUUGGGUAGGUCGCCCAUCACAACGAGACCACUUCAUCAUAUUUUGUCCAUCUGGGUAGGUCACCCAUUACAAUGAGACCACACUUCAUAUUUUUUCCCCUGGGUAGGUCACCCAUAAGAAUGAGAGCACUCUUCCUCCUUUCCACUUGGGUAGGUCACCCAUUAUAAUGAGACCACUUUUUACACAUUCUUUUGUUCCAGUUGAAUGAGGUCGCCAGAUGGGAUCUCAUGUAGCUUUGGUUAAAGGGAAUCUCCAGAUGGGAUUUCAGGUUGACCGAGCUACCACACAGGAUUUUGGUUCUGGUUAGAGGGGAUUGCCGAAAGGAAUCUCAGUCUAUCCCAACCACACACUGGAUUUCGGUUCUGGUUAGAGGGAUUGUCAAAAGCAAUCUCAGUCUAUCCCAACCACACACUGGAUUUCGGUUCUGGUUAGAGGGGAUUGCCGAAAGCAAUCUCAGUCUAUCCCAACCACACACAGGUUUUUUGGUUCUGGUUAGAGGGGAUUGCCGAAAGGAAUCUCAGUCUAUCCCAAUUACACACAGGAUUUUGGUUCUAGUUAGAGGGGAUCGCCGAAAGGAAUCUCAGUCUAUCCCAACCACACACAGAUUUUGGUUAUGGUUAGAGGGAAUUGCCGAAAAGAAUCUCAGUCUAGCCCAACGCUACACAUUCCUUGGUUAUGGUUAAAGGGGAUCGGCAAAGGGAUCUCAGUUUAACCUAAUUGGAAAGGAUUUUGGUUCUGGUUGAAGGGGAUCGACGAAGGGAUCUCAGUUCAGCCCAACCAUACACAUUCCUUGGUUAUGGUUAAAGGGGAUCGGCGAAGGGAUCUCAGUUUAACCUAAUUGGAAAGGAUUUUGGUUCUGGUUAGAGGGGAUUGCCGAAAGGAAUCUCAGUCUAGCCCAACCCUACACAUUCCUUGGUUAUGGUUAAAGGGGAUCGGCGAAGGGAUCUCAGUUUAACCUAAUUGGAAAGGAUUUUGGUUCUGGUUAGAGGGGAUUGCCGAAAGGAAUCUCAGUCUAGCCCAACCCUACACAUUCCUUGGUUAUGGUUAAAGGGGAUCGGCGAAGGGAUCUCAGUUUAACCUAAUUGGAAAGGAUUUUGGUUCUGGUUAGAGGGGAUUGCCGAAAGGAAUCUCAGUCUAGCCCAACCCUACACAUUCCUUGGUUAUGGUUAAAGGGGAUCGACGAAGGGAUCUCAGUUUAACCUAAUUGGAAAGGAUUUUGGUUCUGGUUAGAGGGGAUUACCGAAAGGAAUUUCAGUCUAGCCCAACCCUACACAUUCCUUGGUUAUGGUUAAAGGGGAUCAACGAAGGGAUCUCAGUUUAACCUAAUUGGAAAGGAUUUUGGUUCUGGUUAGAGGGGAUUGUCGAAAGGAAUCUCAGUCUAGCCCAACCCUACACAGACCUUGGUUAUGGUUAAAGGGGAUCGGCGAAGGGAUCUCAGUUUAACCUAAUUGGAAAGGAUUUUGGUUCUGGUUGAAGGGGAUCGGCGAAGGGAUCUCAUUUCAGCCCAACCACACAGACCUCGGUUAUGGUUAAAGGGGAUCGACGAAGGGAUCUCAGUUUAACCUAAUUGGAAAGGAUUUUGGUUCUGGUUGAAGGGGAUCGACGAAGGGAUCUCAGUUUAACCUAAUUGGAAAGGAUUUUGGUUCUGGUUGAAGGGGAUCAACGAAGGGAUCUCAAUUCAGUCUAACCACACAGACCUUGGUUAUGGUUAAAGGGGAUCGACAAAGGGAUCUCAGUUUAGCCUAAUCACGCAGAAUCACUAGAUGAGAUUUCAAGUUGAUUGAGCUACACACCGAUUUUUGAUUUUUUGUUAGAUCGCCAGAUGGGAUCUCAGGUAAACCCAAUCAAAAGGGAAGGUCGCCCGUGAAAAUAGACCAGAGUGAGUAUGUGUGGGCAGGUCGCCCCUGAAAGCAUACUUGUGUGAGAGUGUGGGUCGGUCGCCCCUGAAAAUAGACCAAAGUGAGUAUGUGUGGGCAGGUCGCCCCUGAAAACAGACCAGUGUGAGAGUGUGGGUCGGUCGCCCCUGAAAAUAGACCAGAGUGAGUAUGUGUGGGCAGGUUGCCCUUGAAAACAGACCAGUGUGAGAGUGUGGGUCGGUCGCCCUUGAAAAUAGACCAAAGUGAGUAUGUGUGGGCAGGUCGCCCGUGAAAAUAGACCAGUGUGAGUGUGUGGGCUGGUCGCCCAUGAAAAUAGACCAUUUUGAGUAUGUGUGGGCAGGUCACCCGUGAAAGUAGACCAGUGUGAUUGUGUUGGCCGGUCGCCCCUGAAAAUAGACCACUUUUCUUCAAAAGGGGCAUGUCGCCCAAGAUAAUAAGAUCAUUUUCUUUUUCUGUUCUUUACAAAGCUUACUAUGCAAAACAUUGAGGAGUUUUGCUUCGCAAGCAUUGUAAAGAGGAGGCAUCUGUUGUUACCCAAUUUUUGACCCACCUUUUUAAUAAAUUUUUCAAAAAAUCCAAAAAUAGUGAAAAACAACAAAAAUCCAAAAAAAUAUGUUUUUAAUAUAUUUGCAAUGUUUUUAGCAUUUUCAACGUCUUCUAAAAAGAAUUUUAAUUUUUAAUUGUUUUUCGAACGCGUUCGACUUUUCACGCGUCAUUUUAAAAUCAUUAUUUUUCUCAUAGAAUUGAUGUUGAUUUUGCUCAUUUUUAAAAAUACAAGAAAAAUCAAAAUUUACAAAAAAAAAAAAAGGUUAAGGGACCAAUUUGGAGGCUUGAACAAACUUUUACCUAUAAAUAUAGGUUCAAAACUCAAAAAUAAGAGGGGGGGUCAUUUGGUAAUUUUAGGGGGAGAGGGAACACAAAACAGAAACCCUAGAGCUGAACUUUUUCUUCUCCCUCUCCCGAAAGGCAGCCGCCACCCCCUCCUGGAAUUUUUUUUUGAUCCCUUCUUCCUCUUCCCCCGGACAGCCUGCCAACACCCAUACAAACCGAAACCUACUCCCUUCCACUGAAAAAAAAAACAAAUGAGGCCAGCCCCCCACCUUUAUUUUUUUUCUCCAACCGGCGGCCGCCCCUCUUCCCCCCGCUUGAAAUUUUUUUCUCUUCUUCAAUCUCUCCACAGCUGAUCACCAAGACAUCAGCCUCUCAUCAAAUUUUUUUCCCUUUUCCUCACCGAACCCCACUGCCCGGACGAUCCCCUGCCUCUGAUUUUGUUUUCUUAUUCCUUCCCCUCCAGCGAUCCCAUGCCAGCUCUACCGUAGCUUCAACAGCCCGAGCUCAGCCUCACGCCGGACAGGGACCAGACGAGGGGCCAGACCGUCCACAGCAACCGAACCGACCCCCUCCUGGCCGACCCAUCCCAGCAGCUGCUUCUCCCCGCAGACCCGUGAUCAUCAACGCCGCCACAAACCAGAUCGGCCUCCAGCAGCGCCGUCCGCACCCGAAGCAGAGGAGAAGAAGAACACAGCAGACCCAUUUGUAGAUCCGAAACGGAGAAGAAGACUUGAGAACAGAUCCGAGAAGGAGCAAGAAAAAUUAAAAUCUACUAUUGUUGCGUUUUCUGGACUUUGCAGGUGGCUUUACUUCACACCGCCGGCGACGACAGGAUGAUGGGAAGAAGUCGACCUGGACCCCCUUGUUGUUGGUUGUCUU
rnacentral:lncRNA from 1 species